rnacentral:rRNA from 1 species
UACGUAGGGGGCAAGCGUUGUCCGGAAUCAUUGGGCGUAAAGAGCGCGUAGGCGGCCCUGUAAGUCCGCUGUGAAAGUCAAGGGCUCAACCCUUGAAUGCCGGUGGAUACUGCUUGGCUAGAGUCCGGAAGAGGAGAGUGGAAUUCCUGGUGUAGCGGUGGAAUGCGCAGAUAUCAGGAGGAACAUCCGUGGCGAAGGCGGCUCUCUGGGACGGUACUGACGCUGAGACGCGAAAGCGUGGGGAGCGAACAGG